AACGCACAUUGCGCCCGCUAGUAUUCUGGCGGGCAUGCCUGUUCGAGCGUCAUUUCAACCCUCAAGCCCCGCGUUUUCCGGGGCUUGGUCGUUGGGGAUCGGCCCUCCGCCCGUGCGGCGAAGUGGGGGCCGGCCCCGAAAGUCAGUGGCGGCUCCGCCGUAGCAUCCCCUGCGUAGUAGAAACCUCGCACCGGAUCUCGGCGCGGCCACGCCGUAAAAAAAAAAAAUCUGCCCCCGCAGAUUUGACUCCAAAGGUUGACCUCGGAUCAGGUAGGAAUACCCGCUGAACUUAA
rnacentral:misc_RNA from 1 species